rnacentral:lncRNA from 1 species
AAAGGCAAAAAUAAAUUACAUCAGAUCAAGCCAUGCUAUGUUGACUUUGUUCACUGCCAAACCCUGCUAUGUUGAUGAUGACUCCCAUUGAUGCACAAGUCAUGCUUAUUGGUACAUCUGUUCCUGUUUUAACAAAUUUGAGAAACAUAAAAACAUAAUUUUUUAAAUCAGUCUUGGUACACAUUGUGCAGAACAAAAAGACAAAAUUUUGAGUUUAAAAAAUAAACUAAGGGACAAAUUAAAGCUCACCAACAGAACAUAUCAAAACAAAUAAGUCAAAAUCAUGAAUGCAUCAGAGGUGUAGAAAAAACGCAGAUAAUGAACAAAGGAAAUGAAACAUCAAACAAGAAAUUGAUGGAGAAGGACAGAGACACAGCCAAGAAAACAACUAAACAGAUAAAAACUCUAUAAAUACAUCCUUUUUUUACAAAAGGGGGAGACAUUUUUGAGGGGGAGAAAUCGGAGAUUAAUACUGAUAAGAAACACAUAAAAAAGAAAGAGAAGAAGAAGAAACAGAAAGCAUCACCGCCGUUUCAACUUCCACCGCGAACCACCGUCUCUGUCUUCAUCGGUAUCUGAAAAGGCAUGUAUCUUCUUAUUAUCUUCAUGUUUGCUGCUUAGAUUGGAAGUUAAAAUUUAAAACUAGAAAGAUGGAGUUUUGUUUUAGUUGUGUGAAUGUUUGUUUUUUGGAUGAAAUCAUUUUUUUGUUAUGUUAACAAAGCUUUAAAAUGGGAUUUUUUCUUGCUCAGCUACG